rnacentral:lncRNA from 1 species
CGAAGCCUAAGACUCGCAGUUAGAUGGCUUCGUCCAGCAUUCUCUCCCUCUCCUUCUUCUUCUUCUUCUUCUUCUCCCUUCUUGUCACCCUCUCCCAUGCCGCCACCUUCGAGAUCGUGAACCGAUGCUCUUACACAGUGUGGGCCGCGGCCGUGCCUGGCGGCGGACGCCAGCUCAACCAGGGGCAGUCGUGGACCAUCAACGUGAACGCGGGAACCACCGGCGGCCGCAUCUGGGGCCGCACCGGCUGCUCCUUCGACGGGAGCGGACGCGGGCGGUGCCAGACGGGCGACUGCGGCGGCGUGCUGUCAUGCACGGCGUACGGCAGCCCGCCCAACACCCUGGCGGAGUUCGCGCUCAACCAGUUCAACAACCUCGACUUCUUCGACAUCUCCCUGGUCGACGGCUUCAACGUGCCAAUGGACUUCAGCCCCACGUCAGGCGGCUGCCGCGGCAUCCGGUGCGCGGCGGACAUCAACGGGCAGUGCCCCGGGGCGCUGAAGGCGCCGGGCGGCUGCAACAACCCCUGCACCGUGUUCAAGACGGACCAGUACUGUUGCAACUCCGGCAGCUGCAGCCCGACCGACUACUCCCGGUUCUUCAAGAGAAACUGCCCCGACGCCUACAGCUAUCCCAAGGACGAUCAGACGAGCACCUUCACCUGCCCCGGCGGCACCAACUACAGGGUUGUCUUCUGCCCUUGAGAUCACUGACGCCACUAAUAAGCCGCCCUCGUGCAGGCAACCACGCAUAUAGAUAUAUAUACUAGUCUCCUACAAUACAAAUAAGAUGUCAAGAGUGAUGGAAGGUAUUAGCCUUCUCUUGGGCUAAUACUGUUGACUGAUGUAAUAGAAGUGGUGCAACCAACUAAUAAGAUGCAUAAUAUCAUCACAGCAUGAGUGCUUUUCCAUUGAUGUUUGAAUCAUUUUGUGAGAGCAAUCAGCUUAUGCAAUCAGCAAAAAGAAUAAUUAAACCAUUUCUAUUUAUGUCUUGUUGGCUUAAAACAUGAAUUGAUUUUGAAACAUAAUGAACCCUACAUAUAUAACUUCAUAAAAGAUAUCUCAAGGACCAUACAUUAUACAUACAUAUAUACAUAUAUAUACAUAUAUAUACACAUAUAUAUAUACAUAUAUAUACACAUAUAUAUACAUAUAUAUAUAUAUACAUAUACAUAUAUAUAUAUAUAUNNNNNNNNNNNNNNNNNNNNUAUGUAUAUAUAUAUAUGUAUAUAUAUAUAUAUCAUUUAGGAUGAUGAGUCAUCGCCUAUCCAAUUUGGACCUCUGCCAUUCUCCGUAGAAACUUUGCGUAGCCAUUUUCCAAUACAAUUGCGCGUUGACCAGAGUGCGUCCAUGUGAUCCUCCCCGGUAAGUUUGGUGCCCGAAAUUAUCCGGCAAGUAUGGCUUUAAAUAUUGGAAUUAGUUGCUCUUUGUUUUACGUAGGCCGAUCAAGAUGAACAGAGAGAAUGAUGCUGACUAAUUGAGCCCUGACCAAUCGAGGGCUUCAGGACUCGAGCCCCGACGCGCCCUCGGGAAGCUGCCGCGGGAGGCGGACAUCGAUGGGCAGUGCCCGCAGGUGUUGAGGGCGCCGCGGCGGGUGCACCGCUCGACCGUGUCCAAGGCGGACCGGUACUGCUGCAGCUCCUGCAACUGUGCGUCAAGCGGCUACUUCAGCUUCUUGAGGAGGAACUGCACCGAUGGCUAUAUCUUCCCACAACCUUACGGCCUGGCUUCCACCACUAGUUUCUACGGUAGUCUUCCUCCUCCAAGAGUCGAAUUCAGCUUCCUACAAGAUUAUAAUGAUGGUUUGUAUCAAUUAGUUGUUAAAUUGUAUUUUGGAACCUAAUACAUAUUUUAAAUAUAAAUUCAUAUUUAAAGUUUCUUUAACAUCACAUUUGUCAUGAAUAUAGUGUCAGUAAAUGCUUAAAUUCUGAAACUAUCUUAGAAUAAUUAUAACAUCUCGAGUAAUCUCACAUAAAAAAUGAAUAAGAUUAAAAUUAACUUAUGAUAGUAUAUUACUAUCAAUAUUAAUUUGAAUAUUUUGAUUGCUUGGAUUCAAGAAAAUUGAUAAGUCAAUUAGUUAAUCAAUUGUGACAUUCGAUAUCAAAUUAGUAUUAGGAUAUAGUAUAAUCAAAUUACUAUUAGCGUAUCGUGAGUGAGCUUCGUACUCGUUCAUUGUGAAGUCAUCUUGGGCUAUGUCUUACAUGCCGCGCUAUAUUGAGUCUUUGACAAUGAUUAAUUUUUUUUUUAUAGUUCACACAUAAAAAUAGAUUUUGAACUAUUUAAUUUUAAAAAUCAUAUUAUUUAUUAUAAAAUAUAUUUAUUAAAAUUUAAUUAACUAAUAAAAUUAUUAACUUAUUCACAUAAUUAAGAAAAUCAAUUUUAAUCAUUUUCUUAGCCAUACUAUACAAACAAAAUCACAAUGUAUAUAUUUUUCUUAAAUUUUUAUCUUAAAUGCAUGUUGCUAAUUAUAAUACUUGAUUUAUAUUUAGAUUUAUAUGAUAGUUGAUUAAAAAUAUUAUUUCUUCUCUUAUGUAAUUUUAUCUUUUUAAUAAUCUAUUGUUUAUUAUAUUUUAAUGACUCAAUGCUUGGGAUUAGAUGUUUUUUACUAUAAUUUCAUAAUGCUAUAAUUUAGAAUUGAAGAAAUUGAUUAGGAUUUGGGUUAUAUCUCACACGUACAAUCUUAGAGUUUGAGUUGGGUUUUAAUAAGGAUCAUUUAUUUUUUAUAUAAUAUUUAUUUCCUAUGAUUCACACAUAAAAAUAAAAUUUAAAUUAUUUACUUUCUAAAAAUUGCAUCACUCGUUGAGAAACGAAUCAAUUAAUAAUUUAAUUAAUUUAGUAAUCAUAUUACAUAAAUAAAAUCAUAAUGUGUAGUAUUUUAAAAUUUUUUAUCUUACAUGCAUGAUGCACGAUGAUAAUUAUAAUCCUUGGUUUCUAUUAUAUUUAUAUAGUAAUUUAUUAAAAAUAUUAUUUUCUCACUAAUGUAAUUUUAUUUUAAAAUUUAUUACUAUUUAUUAUGUUUUUAAUGACUCAAUACUAAUGAUCAGAUAUUCUAAUUAGUAGUCAUAUUAGUAAUCAUUAAGAAAUUUAAUUUAAAUUAUUUCAGUAAUAAUAUUACAUAAAUAAAAUCAUAAUGUGUAGUAUUUUUAAAAUUGUUAUCUUACAUGCAUGAUGCAUGAUGAUAAUUAUAAUACUUGGUUUCUAUUAGAUUUAUAUAAUAAUUUAUUAAAAUAUUAUUUUCUCACUUAUGUAAUUUUAGUUUUAAAAUUUAUUACUAUUUAUUAUGUUUUUAGUGACUCAAUACUAAUGAUCAGAUAUUCUAAUUAUAUUUUUUAUAUUUUAAAAUUAAGAGAAUUGAUUAAGAUUUAAGUUGAAAUCAACAAACAAUUAGAGCUAACCCAUAGGCUAGCCACAACUCGUAGAUUAAGCUCAGCAAGCAAGUCAACCCAUAGCCUAUAGGACUCCAAUAUGAUCAGUUAUGUAAUGUACAGACCAAGUCAGAUUUCAUAAACUUAGAUAGAUUCAAGGUAAUUCUAAACUUAUUUAGUCUAUUCAUGUCUAUCUAAUCUAAAUCGAACUCAAUCUAGUCCAAAGUAUACAAGUCUAAGAUGAUUCUAGACUGAUUAAAUGAGAAUUAAAAAUCGAUUUUAUUAUACUAGAGUUAAAUCGAGUUCAAUUGAUUUUAAUUAAACUCGUUUAGAUCGAUUAAGUUCUAGUUAAAUCAGGUUCAAUUAGACCGAUUGAGUUAAGUUAGAUAAAACCUAGGGAUAUGAGUUAUAAAUAAUAUUCAUCAAAUUUCUUCAAUCUAAUUUAUGCUAAAAUAGUUCAAUAAUAAAAAAUAAUAACUGCAAUAAUUAUUGAAUGUUAAUCAGUAUAAUGAAAAAUUCAUAUAAUAACUAUAAUUAUGAUAAGUCAUGAAUUAUAUUUUUAUAUAAUUUUCAAACAUAUUAUAUAAAUAAUCAAAUAAAUAUCCAAGAAAAAUAAUUAGAUUUUUAUUUAUCACAUGCAAAAUUUUAUCAAUAUGACAAAUAAGAAAAUUAUUAAAGAAAAAUCAUAAUUUAUAUUUUUAAAAUUUUGUAUGAACCCUUAUACCAAUCAACCCUAUUUAAUUAGGUAAGCCCAUAAUUGGACUACCUAAAUUGGGCUAACAAUUUGCCUAAUUAGACCCAUUAAGAUUAAAGUUGAUCAAAAUAAAAAAAAGAUCAAAAAUAACUUUUUUUUAAUUUGAUCAAAAACUUAAUUGGUCGAAUUUAAAUCCAACCAAAUAGUUAAAAUAUAGUAAUGAUUAAGCUCGUUUAAAAGAUUUGAUUAAAAUAAAUCAAAUUAAUAAAUUUUAUAAUUGAGGGCAUAUCUCAAAAUAUUUUAAUUCAAAAGGGUAAAACUAUAAUUUUACUGGGAUAUGUAGAGAAAAUAUCUAAUUUCUGAAGAAUAUAAUUAUCAAAAGGACACAAGUUGAAAUUAAAAGACUUUAUAAGAAUAAAUUUAUAAUUUUAAAAAUAAAUCCUAAUCUUUCACCCAGAAAGGCUCUCUCGCAUUUGUCAUUGGUUCCACCAUGCCCACACGCAAAAGUCAACACCGCAGUGUUCGCCCACCACCUGCAUGGACAACGAGGCAGUUGUCCUUAUGCAUUCAAACGAUAACCUCAUCGGUCGUCGCGUUGUGCCAUGCUCAUGAGUGGCUAUUAUCAUCGUGCGCUUGACUAUAACACUUCAAAAACAAUAUGUAUGUCACUGACCGGAAGCUAUCGCGUAGUUACGCACACAUGCCGAUCGAUAACCCCCAGAAUCACUUUGAUGUGUGACUGUGCUCGCUUGUCUUGCUACAUAGUCGUUGGGAACAAUGGCUUUCAGUGUCCAAUCGAUGUUGACCAUGGCCAACAAGCACUACCACAGUGGUAUUACUGUAACCAUUGUACGUAGUGAAGCUAUAUAGCCACUAUAGGUGCAUGCGCACAUAGUGGCACUGUUACAAUCAUCGCACUUAGUAUUAUACCCCAUGGUGCUUCCAUUAGGUACGCAAUUGCUACUCGCGAUUGAACUAAUGACAAUCAAAAGUUGUCGCUCUUAACCAUAUUGUUAUCGACAAUAAGCUAGUCACAGUGAUCCAUUGAUCAAGUACGAGAAAAUUCAUAUCUCCCACAAAUAGGUGAUAAGAUCGAUUAAAUAGAAAAAUAGAUCAAUAAUAUAUAUGAAUCAUUCAUACAUCGUAAAUAAAAAAUUGAAUAACACUUUUUCAUAAGCCAAAGAUGCUAACAAAUAUAUCUAAAAUAAUUUAUUUUACAAACAUGACUCUGAUAUCAAUUGUAAGUAUAAAAACCAUCCUUAUGCUAUUGUUAUGCAGAAAACUUUAACACCAAAAUCUAAAAUCAAAUAAUAAUAGAUAAGAUUCAUGAUACGUACAUUUUGAUGCUAGUUAAAAAAGCUCUUAUAUGAUCUAUAGGUACACCAUCGUUGGAUCUGAAAGUUAUAGUAAUAUCGAUCUAUAAGAAGAAUUAGACUCAUCGUUUUCUCAUUUUCUAUCCUUUAUAGGACCACUACAAUGGAUUUAGAGACUAAGGGGAGAUGAGAGAAGAUUUAUAAUUUCUCACUGACUUAUUCACAAAAAUUUAUAAUUUUUUAAUAAUAUUUUGUAAACACGUAUCGUUUUUAUCUUCUUAUAGUAUUUCUAGGUGAGAAUAGAAAAUCUAUGAUAAGUAAUGAAUAGGGUCUUUCUAAUCAAAAUCUAUCUCUUAACGAAUUUUAUGAUAAUUUAAUUUUUUAUCAAUCUAUAAUCAUAAUUAAAAUUUAAUCAUAUCUAUAAUAUAUCUUAAAUAAAUAAUUAGUGAUAUAUAAUCUGACACCUCUCUCUUCUCUCCCUUAUAAAUUCCCCACCUCUCCACCCCUCGGAUCUGCACAACACAGAGCACGAAGCCUAAGACUCGCCGUUAGAUGGCUUCGUCAAGCAUUCUCUCCCUCUCCUUCUUCUCCCUUCUUGUCACCCUCUCCCAUGCCGCCAACUUCGAGAUCGUGAACCGAUGCUCUUACACAGUGUGGGCCGCGGCCGUGCCCGGCGGCGGACGCCAGCUCAACCAGGGGCAGUCGUGGACCAUCAACGUGAAAGCGGGAACGACCGGCGGCCGCAUCUGGGGCCGCACAGGCUGCUCCUUCGACGGGAGCGGCCACGGGCGGUGCCAGACGGGCGACUGCGGCGGGUUGCUGGCGUGCACGGCGUACGGUAGCCCGCCCAACACCCUGGCGGAGUUCGCGCUCAACCAGUACAGCAACCAAGACUACGUGGACAUCUCCCUGGUCGACGGCUUCAACGUGCCUAUGGACUUCAGCCCCACGUCGGGCGGCUGCCGCGGCAUGCGGUGCACGGCGGACAUCAACAAGAAGUGCCCCACGGCACUGAAGGCGCCGGGCGGCUGCAACAACCCCUGCACCGUGUUCAAGACGGACCAGUACUGCUGCAACUCCGGCAGCUGCCAGCCGACCGAGUACUCCAAGUUCUUCAAGAGCAACUGCCCCGACGCCUACAGCUAUCCGAAGGACGAUCCGACGAGCCUCGUCGCCUGCCCCGGCGGCACCAACUACAGGGUUGUCUUCUGCCCUUGAGAUCACCGACGCCACUAAUAAGCCUCCCUCGUGUAGGCAACCACGCAGAUAUAUAUAUAUAUAUAUAUNNNNNNNNNNNNNNNNNNNNCCCGACGCCUACAGCUAUACCGAAGGACGAUCCGACGAGCCUCGUCGC